AAGACUAUAGACCUGCGGAGUACCUGCGGAGGGAUCAUUACAGAGUUUUCUAAACUCCCAACCCAUGUGUAUCUACUAUUUUGUUGCCUCGGCGGGCUCUGCUCCCUUGUGGAACAGGCCCAAGCCCGCCGGUGGCCCAACUAAACUCUUGUAUUAUUGUCAUCUGAGAGUUAUUUUUAAAAUAAGUCAAAACUUUUAGCAACGGAUCUCU
rnacentral:misc_RNA from 1 species